rnacentral:rRNA from 1 species
ACGAACGCUGGCGGCGUGCCUAAUACAUGCAAGUAGAACGCUGAAGAGAGGAGCUUGCUCUUCUUGGAUGAGUUGCGAACGGGUGAGUAACGCGUAGGUAACCUGCCUGGUAGCGGGGGAUAACUAUUGGAAACGAUAGCUAAUACCGCAUGAAAUUGCUUAUCGCAUGAUAAUUGAUUGAAAGAUGCAAUUGCAUCACUACCAGAUGGACCUGCGUUGUAUUAGCUAGUUGGUGAGGUAACGGCUCACCAAGGCGACGAUACAUAGCCGACCUGAGAGGGUGAUCGGCCACACUGGGACUGAGACACGGCCCAGACUCCUACGGGAGGCAGCAGUAGGGAAUCUUCGGCAAUGGGGGGAACCCUGACCGAGCAACGCCGCGUGAGUGAAGAAGGUUUUCGGAUCGUAAAGCUCUGUUGUAAGAGAAGAACGGGUGUGAGAGUGGAAAGUUCACACUGUGACGGUAUCUUACCAGAAAGGGACGGCUAACUACGUG